UAACUUUUGAUGGCGCUUCGCAGCCCAAUUUGGAGGUGGAUUAUCGCCACCAACUGGAGUGUGGAGAGCUCGGGGGGGAACCCGCACCACUUCUCUUUCAAAGGAAAGCUAAAUUACCCCCAAAGCCCUAUAGAUCCUGCAUCGAUUUGUUGGGCACAGGAUAGAUCCUCAGAGAUGUUGACACCCAGGAACUUGAAACUGCUCACCCUCCCCACUUCUGAUCCCUCUGAGGACAGGUUUGAUUAAACGCCAGCCUUUGCCACUCAGACGCAAAGCCUGCCGGUUGCUAUGGUUCGACUGUUGGGACAGCCCCGGUUGCCAUGGUUUCACACACCCACCCACUGCAUGAGAUCAUGCAGGUAAAAAGCCAGUGUCAAUGUGGAAGGUCUGGUUCUCCCAGUUCUGGUCAACGUUCCGGAACCUUCUGAUGUAUACAGAUUGGCUCCUGUGGAAACUCUGAGUCCCUGUUGAUGUUUGCUUGUCAAAUUGCCAAGUUAAACUCAUCCCAGGGGUAGGGCAGUCGAUGCGCAGGAAAGAAUCCGGCACACAAUCACGGGAAGGGGGCAGAAUUCCCAACGUAUCCCAGCAGGUGGAAAAAUUCAGGGAGGGAAUUCUGGAGCCGAGGACCCUGGGGUUUGAGGAUUGCCGGUGACAGAGCAACGGGAACUGGGUUGGGGGGGGGGGGAGUUGCUGAUUACAGAUUAAAGGGAGUCUUAUCAUUGGCUUUAUCUGCUUCACCUCCAUCGAAACGUACGUGCUGCAUCACUUGUGUCACUGAUCAAUACAGUCCGAGGACUGUACCGGGGAGAGCCCAGCCCUCCCACAACUGCAGAAUUCCUUGCUUACAAUUCCCAGUAUUUUUAUUCAGAGAUAUGGCCCGAUAAUGGGCACUUCCAGCCCAAUGAGUCCGCACCGCCCGAUUACACCCCUGUGACCAAUUGACCACAGGUCUUUGCACUGUAGGGGAAACCACAGCACCCGGAGGAAACCUACGAGGCCGUGCAAACUCCUCACAGGCAGCAGUGAGAAUUGAACUGGCACUAACCGCUACGCGGUCGUGCCGUGAUGGCAGAAGAGAUCGCGGGGGGUAAAGAAGGUGACAGAUGGUGACCAGAGGGGAGAUGACAGCCCUCGGCUAGUGGUGAGGGAUCCUGGUGACAUCACCGAGAACGCUGCACCGUCACCCAGAGGGAGUGACUCAAGGUACUCUUCACGGGGAAUCUGCUGACAUCGUGGGGAAGAGGCGGGCUCCACAUCGCGUUUCUGUUUGCAUUCUAUAGUUUCUGCCCGGGCUCUGAUGCGUCAGUCACAUGCGUGCAGGGGUGAAACAGAUCUUGGCAGAAUGAGGGAGAGAAGGAGAAAGAGACUGAAAAGAAGGAAGAGAGUCAGAAGUAUGUGGAAAACUGAAGCCAAGUUCAAGUUUACUUUCAUCUUAACAAGUACAUGUCUGAACAAGUGAAAAACCUAUUUGCUGCUGCAACUCAGGCUCAGAACAUCAGAUAAGCAGCACUCACAAGAAAAGCGUAAACUACAUGUAAAUCAAAUAAUUUUUACAGGAAUAAACACAAAUGGAACACUAUAUCAGGCAGACUGUUGUGAACGGUAAUAUACAGAUAGACCGUAGGCCCUUGGGUCCAUGAUGCUGUGCCAACAUUUUAAUCUACUCUGAGAUCAAUCUAACCCUUUCCUGCCAUUUACCUGUUAUCUACGUGCCUAUCUAAGAGUCUCUCAAAUGUCUCCCGCCGCUGCCUGUAGGGAAUUUGUGCGUUCUCCGUAACCCUGUGGGGUUCCUCCGGGCGCUGCAGAUUUUCCUCCCGCAGUCCGAAGACAAACGGGUUAGUAGCUUAACUGGUCAUGUGAUUAAGCCAGGGUUAAGUCAUAGGUUUGCUGUGUGGAGCAGCUCGAAGGGAGUAUUCUGCACCCUAUCUCAAUAAACCAUCAAGAAAAUAAAUAAAUACCUACCUCUAUUCCCACCCACGGCAGCAUGUUCCACACGCUCUCCGCUCUCUGUGUAAGAAAACUCUCACCAAACAUCUCUCCCUAUACUUCCCUCCAAUCACCUCCAAAUUAUCUCCCCCUCCCAAUAGUCUAAUGAAAGCCCCGGGGAAAAAGUCUCUUUUGAUAGAAAAAUUGUUACUUUGAUAAUAAAUUUACUUUGAACCUUGAACUUGAAUUUGAAUUGCUGUUUUUGUGUCCCCCCCCCCAACCCCCCAAAACACUUGACAUCACUUACUUGCAUAUGAAUUUGGUAUGUUUAUGUACAGAACACAGGCUCACAUAUUCUACUGACUUACCCCCGACCGUGAGGCCAAAUUUGGAGAAUUGAGAGCAGUUCUGAUCGCCUACAUACAGGGAAUAUAUUAAAAAGUUGACAGAGUGCAGAGAAAAUGGACAAGGGUGUUGGACUUGAGGAGUUGAGUUGACUUCAGGAGGGCACAGAGCGACCACUCCUCGCUGAACAUUGACGGCUCCUCCGUAGAGAUCGUUAAGAGCACCAAAUUUCUUGGUGUUCACCUGACGGAGAAUCUCACCUGGUCCCUCAAUGCCAGCUCCAUAGCAAAGAAAGCCCAGCAGCAUCUCUACUUUCUGCAAAGGCUGAGGAAAGUCCAUCUCCCACCCCCCAUCCUCAUCACAUUCUACAAGGGUUGUAUUGAGAGCAUCCUGAGCAGCUGCACCACUGCCUGGUUUGGAAAUUGCACCAUCUCAGAUUGCAAAACCUUGCAGCGGAUAGUGAGGUCAGCUGAGAAGAUCAUCGGGGUCUCUCUUCCCGCCAUUACAGACAUUUACACCACACGCUGCAGCCGCAAAGCUAACGGUAUUGUGAAGGACCCCAUGCACCCCUCACACAAACUCUUCUCCCUCCUGCCGUCUGGGAAAAGGCACCGAAGCAUUUGGGCUCUCACGACCAGACUAUGUAACAGUUUCUUCCCCCAAGCUAUCAGACUCUUCAAUACCCAGAGCCUGGACUGACACCUUACUGCCCUAUUGUCUUGUUUAUUUUUUAUUGUAAUACCUGCACUGUUUUGUGCACUUUAUGCAGUCCUGGGUAGGUCCGUAGUCUAGUGUAGUUUUUUUUCUGUGUUAUAUUUUACGUAGUUCA